rnacentral:rRNA from 1 species
AGUAACGGCGAGUGAAGCGGUAACAGCUCAAAUUUGAAAUCUGGCUCCCUGCGGAGUCCGAGUUGUAAUUUGUAGAAGAUGCUUUGGGUGCUCGGCCCGGUCUAAGUUCCUUGGAACAGGACGUCGUAGAGGGUGAGAAUCCCGUAUGCGGCCGGGGUGGGUGCUCGUGUAAAGCUCUUUCGACGAGUCGAGUUGUUUGGGAAUGCAGCUCAAAAUGGGUGGUAAAUUUCAUCUAAAGCUAAAUAUGGGCCAGAGACCGAUAGCGCACAAGUAGAGUGAUCGAAAGAUGAAAAGCACUUUGGAAAGAGAGUUAAACAGUACGUGAAAUUGUUGAAAGGGAAGCGCUUGCAACCAGACUUGGGCGUCGCUGAUCAUCCAAAGUUUUCUUUGGUGCACUCGACGACGUACAGGCCAGCAUCGGUUGGGGUGGUGGGAGAAAGGUUGUAGGAACGUAGCUCUUUUCGGGGAGUGUUAUAGCCUGCGACGCAAUGCCGCCUACCCUGACCGAGGACCGCGCUUCGGCUAGGAUGCUGGCGUAAUGGUUGUAAGCGACCCGUCUUGAAACACGGACCAAGGAGUCUAACAUCUAUGCGAGUGUUUGGGUGCGAAACCCAUGCGCGAAAUGAAAGUGAACG